rnacentral:rRNA from 1 species
UGAUUGAUCCUCACAGUAGCCAUAUGCUUGUCUCAAAGAUUAAGCCAUGAAAGUCUAAGUAUGAACUAAUUCAGACUGUGAAACUUCAAAUGGCUCAUCAAAUUAGUUAUAAUUUUUUUGAUGGUACCAUACUAUUCAAAUAACCAUAGUAAUUCUAGAGCUAAUACAUGAAGCAAGUCCCGACUCUUUAGAAGGGAUGAAAUUUUUAGAUAAAAGGUUAGAGUUGGCUUCCCCACUUCUCCGAUGAAUCAUGAUAACUUGACGAACCACACAAACCUUGUGUUGGCAAUGAUUUAUUCAAAUUUUUUACCUAUCAACUUUCGAUGGUAGGAUAAAGGCCUGCCAUGGUGGUGAUGAGUGACAAAGAAUUAGGGUUCAAUUCUAGAGAGGAAUCUUGAGAAACAACUACCACAUCCAAGGAAGGCAGCAAGCAUGAAAAUUACCCAAUCCUAACAUGGGGAGUUAGUGACAAUAAAUAAAAAUAUUUGGCUCAUCAAGUCUGGUAAUAGGAAUGAGUACAAUCUAAAUCCCUUAAUGAGGAUCCAUUGGAGGGAAUUUUUGGUGCCAACAACCAUGGUAAUUCCAGCUCCAAUAGCAUAUAUUUAAGUUGUUAUGGUGAAAAAGCUCAUUGUUGAAUCUUGGGUCGUAAAGGUCGGUCCACCUACUUAGUGUGCACCCGCCAUUCCAUCCCUUUUGCUGAUGGCAUGCUCCUAGACUUAAUUGGAUGGGUGGUGGCUUCAAUGUUAUUAAUUUGAAAAAAUUAGAGUGCUCAAAGCAAGCUUAUGCUCUGAAUACAUUAGCAUGGAAUAACGUGAUAUGAUUUUGGUCCUAUUGUGUUGGCCUUCAGGACCAAAGUAAUGAUUCAUAGGGACUGCUGGGAGCAUUGGUAUUUCAUUGCUAAAGGUGAAAUCCUUGGAUUUAUGAAAUAUGGACCAUUGCAAAAUAAUUUUCCAAAGAUGUUUUCAUUAAUCAAAAACAAAAUUUGAGGGCUUAAAGAUGAUCAAAUACCACCCUAGUCUUAACCAUAGACGAUGUGGACCAAGGAUCGAUGGAUUUUCUCUAAGGACUCUGCCAUCACCUUCUGAGAAAUAAGAGUGUUUGGGUUCCAGGAGGAGUAUGGUCAGAAGGCUAAAACAUAAAGGAAUUGAUGGAAUGGCACCACCAGUAGUGGAGCAUGUGGCUUAAUUUGACUCAACACGAGGAAACUUACCAGGUUCAGACAUAAUAAGGAUUGACAAAUUGAGAGCUCUUUCUUGAUCCUAUGGGUGGUGGUGCAUGCUCAUUCUUAGUUGGUGGAAUGAUUUGUAUGCUUAAUUUUGAUAACAAACGAGACCUCAACCUAUUAACUAGAUAUGUGGAGGUUAUCCCUGUGAUGAGCUCCAAUAUUGCAGCAAGAAUGAUGCAACUCUUGGGGCUACCAACUUUACUUCAUAAACUCGGGGUUCAUACAAACUUGGAGGUGACAGUAUUGUAUACACAAGUAUAUGCAAUGGUUCCACUCUUUUGUCACUUCUGAGCUAGAUGAUAGACCACUAAGGUUUCUCAAACCAGGCUUCUAUUGAUUUAGAAGAAAUUUGAUUACCAAUUUGAGAAAGGAGAAUGUUACCCUAAUUGAGAGAAUUGAAAUGUUACCUACUGCAGUA